rnacentral:rRNA from 1 species
AACGAACGCUGGCGGCAUGCCUAACACAUGCAAGUCGAACGAAGCCUUCGGGCUUAGUGGCGCACGGGUGCGUAACGCGUGGGAAUCUGCCCCUUGCUUCGGAAUAACAGUUAGAAAUGACUGCUAAUAUCGGAUGAAGUCUUCGGACCAAAGAUUUAUCGGCAAGGGAUGAGCCCGCGUAGGAUUAGGUAGUUGGUGGGGUAAAGGCCUACCAAGCCGACGAUCCUUAGCUGGUCUGAGAGGAUGAUCAGCCACACUGGGACUGAGACACGGCCCAGACUCCUACGGGAGGCAGCAGUGGGGAAUAUUGGACAAUGGACGCAAGUCUGAUCCAGCAAUGCCGCGUGAGUGAUGAAGGCCUUAGGGUUGUAAAGCUCUUUUACCAGGGAUGAUAAUGACAGUACCUGGAGAAUAAGCUCCGGCUAACUCCGUG